rnacentral:tRNA from 1 species
UCCCUAGUGGUUCAGUGGUUAGGACUCUGCAUUUCUACCGCUGGGGCCACAGGUUCAAUCCCUUUUCAGGGAA